UACGGGGGGGGCAAGCGUUGUUCGGAAUUACUGGGCGUAAAGGGCUCGUAGGCGGCCAACUAAGUCAGACGUGAAAUCCCUCGGCUUAACCGGGGAACUGCGUCUGAUACUGGAUGGCUUGAGUUUGGGAGAGGGAUGCGGAAUUCCAGGUGUAGCGGUGAAAUGCGUAGAUAUUGGGAGGAACACCGGUGGCGAAGGCGGCUACCUGGACCGGUACUGACGCUGAGGAGCGAAAGCGUGGGGAGCGAACAGG
rnacentral:rRNA from 1 species